UCCUGCCUGAGAAAAGCUCGAAUUAGUGCCAGGGAGGUGGUGCGGCACCUGCUGGGGACAGUCGUGCUCAGAACGCCAAGGGCGGUCCCCUCAAGGCUGUUUUGCUUCUGGGGAGGGGACCGGCAGCCCUCAGCCGUCUCCCACUGAACGCAGCUCGGGGCCGGAUGAAGCACCUGCACGGGCGGGGUGAGGGCUCUGAGCAGAAAACAGCGGCAGAAAGACAGGAGUGAGACAAACACGUGAAGAGCCUCCAAACUGGUGAUCACCCCACUAACGACCCAGACAUGGGUGCAGGCGUGGGACGCACACAGCACUGUGGCAUAACGAAGCUCCAGCUUUCUGACGAGAUGACUAAAAAGCGGAACCCCAGGUCUGGAUUCAAACACCAGAGGUCACGGAAAACAAACUAUGGGACUGACCUCCACCAGUGUAUCAGACUGGCCUCUGGUGUCCAAACACAGCAAAAUCUUUGGAAACUGAACUAAUGCAGAAGCCAGAAUCCAUAAAACAUUGAUCUGCACUUGUGGCAAAAACCCAGCUAGAUUGAUUGCCUGUAAAAACGAAAACAUCAACAUUUUCCAGAACAUGGAAAUAAGACUCAGCAGCUCGUAAUGUGACAUUCAGAAUUACUCUUUUAUUUAUUUAUUUGAGAGAGAGAGCACGAGCCGGAGGAGGGGCA